rnacentral:tRNA from 1 species
GGAGAGAUGGCCGAGUGGUUGAAGGCGCACGCUUGGAAAGCGUGUAUAGGGGAAACUCUAUCCAGGGUUCGAAUCCCUGUCUCUCCGCCA